GCCCGGAUAGCUCAGGGGUAGAGCGCAGGACUGUGGAUCCUGUCGUCCCGGGUUCGAGUCCCGGUCCGGGCC
rfam:Archaeoglobus profundus DSM 5631, complete genome.